rnacentral:lncRNA from 1 species
AUGAUGAUUUGAUUAAUAAAAUAUUAAAAAAUUUUUCUAAUUUUUAUUCUGCUUUGAACAAAGUCUUCUUGAAUCAUCAUAUGAUUAGAGUAUGUAGGAUAUGAUGUUCUCUUACUAGGAGUGAUCGAUUCUUUAUUAACCUCCUCAUAACCUUUGUACACAAUCCACUAUAUUCAAGAUACCUCAUACAUAACUCUAGUCAUGAAUGAGUAUGAACUAAAAUAUAAAUUUAUGUGGAUAAAUUUUCAUGGUGAUCUUAGGUUUAAAGAUCAGUUGCACUACUUCCACUUAAAGA